GGUUCCUCCUCCCCUGCCUCCUCACGUCGCCCUCAAGUCCGAGGCAACGAGUUUGCUUCCUCUGCUCCGUUCAUGUCAUUGAGCUUUUUCCUUGGGCAUAGCACCACAUUUGCGGCAGCACACCGGAGUCAAUUUGGUUGACUAGCAAUAGAGCAAAGAGUAAAAUCAGGUCUUCACCUAUGGAGGAGGUAGAUACUGGCGGAGUGCAUAUGACCAGGUGUCCUCCAGGUUCUGCAUCAUCAGUGUGUACCUCUAGAUUCUGCAUCAUUAGUGAGCAACUUACCUAAGCAACCGAGCCCAAUCAACAAUUGGUAGAAGUAGUUAUUAGAUGAGGUAGAGGAGAGCAGAGAGGACCGGAGAAGGAGUUGCGGACCUCGCCAACAAGGCCGUGACCCUACAUCACUAAAAAAAAUGCGCCGUAUUUGUUUCUCAUGCUUUACCAUGGCAUGUUCUUAUUAGUUCAGGUUGGUCUCUCCGGUUCUUUUCACCAAUGGCUUGAUGUACGCACUGGCAACCUCUUACUGGAAGGAUUCGGCAUGCCUCUGUUCGAGAGAUGGGAUAUGAAGAAAUGGCGUUCUGUAGGUUGUCUUCAUGUCGCUGUUGUGCUACUGCUAGGCAUGAACAGAAUGGCCUCCUCUUAUUGCGAACCACACUGAUGUUGGCUUCUGAUUUCUGCUGUAAUGGAUUAUUUACUAUGGACAAAUAUGGCAAUAUUCAUUUGGAGCACCGUUUCUUGAGGAUAUGUCUCUUCUACAGGUAUGACAUUAUCAUUGGAACGUAUACUAUGUCUAUUUGAUAUAUCUAUGACUAUAUCCUUCCAAAGAAUAUUUAUUUUUGUAUUAUAUACUUUUUUUUCGAAAAGGGGGAGAUCCCCGGCCUCUGCAUCAGAACGAUGCAUACAUGAUAUCGGUACUUUUUAUAACUGAUCCAUGUUCUUGGAAUACUUUAUUUUAUUUCAUUAAUAAGCAAGGGUGGAUGGUGGCUUGCAGUGUGCUUGUACUAAAAAAGGUGUUCUGCCAUCCCAUGGAUUCUAGCACAGCUUGAAGCGGCCAAGUCAAGGAGGACCUAUAAAAUUAUUUGAUCGUCUCUCUCUCUCUCUCUCUCUCUCUCUAUAUAUAUAUAUAUAUAUAUAUAUAUAUAUAUAUAUAUAUAUGUUGUCUGGUGCAUGUAUGGCUGAGAAUAGGGAGAGAGAGCAAGUUUAAUUUUCCUUGGGCAUUCAAAUUCUUAUUUUGCUUUUCUCAGAUUUUUGGCUGGGUGUUUAAACAUACUUCCACACACUGGUUUCAGAUUUCAGUGUAAACUACAAAUAGGGGAAAAAUAUAGUGAUUUUUCCAAAUUAGAAAUAGGGAGAAGGGAAACUAUUGAUUAUUGUGUGCAUGUAUAACUAAUUGGAUUACUGGUUGAACGAGUGCAGACUUGAGAAAGAAGAGAUAGGGCCAAUAAAAUUAGGUGGGAGGUAUGCUGAUGGGUUCAUUUUAGCAUUACUAAUCGACCGCUUGGCAUCCUGAAGCUGAAAGAUUAGCGAGACUGACUAAAUUCUAAACAUGUUCCAUGUGAGAGAAAUAGCAUGUUGAUUUCAUCUUGAAAUAAUCAUAGUUGAGGGAUGAGGUUCGUAACCGAGGGUCAUGUGCAGAGCUGGAGGAAGAAGUUGCGAGGCUUGAAACUCUGUGAAGGGCUCAGGGACAGCAGUGAGGACAAUGCCUCUUUAGUUGUAAUUGUGAUACUCUUGAUGUGCAAUUAAACACUCCUGUGAUACUCCUUAUGCUAAAAUGUUGGUUGUUAGUACAGAGGUGGUGACAUUAUUUGGUUCUCUGGUAUUGAUUUCAUGAUUUGUGGUUAAUACAUGAUGUAAUACAAUCCACAUUGCAUUAUAUUUUCAGUUACA